rnacentral:rRNA from 1 species
UACGUAGGUGGCGAGCGUUGUCCGGAUUUAUUGGGCGUAAAGCGCCCGCAGGCGGCUCGAUAAGUUUCAGGUGAAAUCUCCUGGCUCAACUGGGAGGGGUCCUGGAAAACUGUCAGGCUUGAGGCAGGGAGAGGGAUGCGGAAUUCCCGGUGUAGUAGUGAAAUUCGUAGAUAUCGGGAGGAACACCGGUGGCGAAGGCGGCGACCUGGGUCGAUACUGACGCUGAUGCGCGAAAGCGUGGGGAGCAAACAGG